UACAGAGGGGGCAAGCGUUAUUCGGAAUUAUUGGGCGUAAAGGGCGCGUAGGCGGCCCGGCAAGUGGAAGGUGAAAUCCCUCGGCUCAACCGAGGAACUGCCUUCCAAACUGCCUGGGCUUGAGUCCGGGAGAGGUGAGUGGAACUGCGAGUGUAGAGGUGAAAUUCGUAGAUAUUCGCAAGAACACCAGUGGCGAAGGCGGCUCACUGGCCCGGUACUGACGCUGAGGUGCGAAAGCGUGGGGAGCAAACAGG
rnacentral:rRNA from 1 species